rnacentral:lncRNA from 1 species
CCCUUGUCUUCACACUCAUUGAAAUCGGCUUUAAUAUUGCAAAAGUUCAAGCAAUUAGGGCAAAACUUACCGAGUAAAAAAAAUCAAAAUGUCUAUCUACAUGGUUUUUUGUACUUUGCACAUUUCAGAAAAUUCAGAUCAGAUAACGAAACUGGGUCCAGCAACAUUUAUAAGCAAUUUAAGAUUUUGACCCUCACAGUUUCCAUUCACCACAA